CUAAUGCCGGAUAACACUCUGUCCUGCAUGGGACGGGGUUAAAAGCUCCGGCGGUGAAGGAUGAGCCCGCGGCCUAUCAGCUUGUUGGUGGGGUAAUGGCCUACCAAGGCGACGACGGGUAGCCGGCCUGAGAGGGCGACCGGCCACACUGGGACUGAGACACGGCCCAGACUCCUACGGGAGGCAGCAGUGGGGAAUAUUGCACAAUGGGCGAAAGCCUGAUGCAGCGACGCCGCGUGAGGGAUGACGGCCUUCGGGUUGUAAACCUCUUUCAGCAGGGAAGAAGCGAAAGUGACGGUACCUGCAGAAGAAGCGCCGGCUAACUACGUGCCAGCAGCCGCGGUAAUACGUAGGGCGCAAGCGUUGUCCGGAAUUAUUGGGCGUAAAGAGCUCGUAGGCGGCUUGUCACGUCGGAUGUGAAAGCCCGGGGCUUAACCCCGGGUCUGCAUUCGAUACGGGCUAGCUAGAGUGUGGUAGGGG
rnacentral:rRNA from 1 species